CAGAAGCUGGGACUAGUGACAGGAACUCACCCCAUCAGGCAUCAUUCGGGCCUCAAACUGCCAACCUUCCAAUCAUCAGAACUGACGUCUUAACCACUAAGCCACUGCAUCCCUACUGCUGCUGAAUUUACCAUGGCUUUGACAACAACAACAACAACAAUGGACAGUUUCUCUUUAAAACCCGGUGAGCAGGUGUUAAAUUACCAUAUCAAAGCCAGGAUGCUUGUGCUGCCAUCAGUUACUGUUACAAUGACUGUGAAUUACCACUGUGUUUGUCUCCUAUAUAUUUCACCUUGAAUCUUUGGAAUCCAUCUGUCAUUGGAAAUGUAAAGUUUGUUGCUUCUUUCUAUAAGUUUAAAUUAGUUGUUUAAAUUGAAAAAAGUGGGCCAAAGAGACUUAUCACAUAUCUUACUCUUAUAGUUUGUGACUAUUUAUGCCACAAUAAAUCUAAUGGAAUU